GGCUGGUCCGAUGGUAGUGGGUUAUCAGAGCUUAUUAACAUUAGUGUCACUAAAGUUGGUAUUCAACCCCCCACUGCUAAAUUUGACUGGCUUUAA
rnacentral:Y_RNA from 1 species